rnacentral:rRNA from 1 species
GACGAACGCUGGCGGCGUGCUUAACACAUGCAAGUCGAACGGAAAGGCCCUGCUUUUGUGGGGUGCUCGAGUGGCGAACGGGUGAGUAACACGUGAGUAACCUGCCCUUGACUUUGGGAUAACUUCAGGAAACUGGGGCUAAUACCGGAUAGGAGCUCCUGCUGCAUGGUGGGGGUUGGAAAGUUUCGGCGGUUGGGGAUGGACUCGCGGCUUAUCAGCUUGUUGGUGGGGUAGUGGCUUACCAAGGCUUUGACGGGUAGCCGGCUUGAGAGGGUGACCGGCCACAUUGGGACGGAGAUACGGCCCAGACUCCUACGGGAGGCAGCAGUGGGGAAUAUUGCACAAUGGGCGGAAGCCUGAUGCAGCAACGCCGCGUGCGGGAUGACGGCCUUCGGGUUGUAAACCGCUUUCGCCUGUGACGAAGCGUGAGUGACGGUAAUGGGUAAAGAAGCACCGGCUAACUACG